rnacentral:rRNA from 1 species
AGCGAACGCUGGCGGCAGGCUUAACACAUGCAAGUCGAGCGGUCAUCCUUGUGGUGUCAGCGGCAGACGGGUGAGUAACGCGUGGGAACGUGCCCUUCGGUUCGGAAUAACUCAGGGAAACUUGAGCUAAUACCGGAUACGCCCUUUUGGCGUAAGGUUUACUGCCGAAGGAUCGGCCCGCGUCUGAUUAGCUAGUUGGUGAGGUUAUGGCUCACCAAGGCGACGAUCAGUAGCUGGUCUGAGAGGAUGAUCAGCCACACUGGGACUGAGACACGGCCCAGAAUACUACGGGAGGCAGCAGUGGGGAAUAUUGGAAAAUGGGGGCAACGCUGAUGCAGCCAUGGCGGGUGAGUGAUGACGGCCUUAGGGUUGUAAAGAUCUUUUCUCCGGGACGAUAAUGACGGUACCGGAGGAAUAAGCCCCGGCUAACUUCGUG